rnacentral:tRNA from 1 species
UCCUCGGUAGCUCAGUUGGUAGAGCGGUCGGCUGUUAACCGAUUGGUCGCAGGUUCGAGUCCUGCCCGGGGAGCCA